GCCUGGCUGGUUCAGUCAGAAGAGCACAGGACUCUUGAUCUUGAGGUUAUAAGUUCGAGCCCUAUACUGGGUG
rnacentral:tRNA from 1 species